CGUUCCCGGGCCUUGUACGCACCGCCGUCACACCACGAAAGUCGGCAAUACCCGAAGCCGGUGGCCUAACCCGCAAGGGAGGGAGCCGUCGAAGGUAGGGUCGAUGAUUGGGGUG
rnacentral:rRNA from 1 species